rnacentral:lncRNA from 1 species
AAUUUAAUCAUUUUGGUAAAAGGAUAUAAAGAUUAAAGUUUAGUUGUAACUUGUAAGCAUAAUGGAAUGAGCAAAGAUCUGAGUUUUGGUAAAAGGAUAUAAACUAGUUAUUUAACUAUGCUAGCCUUGUGAUACAAGAUCAAACUUGUCACAUGUUUAAGUAAUACUAAAAAAACACACAUCAUUUAUGAAAAGAUCUGAGUUUGAUUGUUUCGAAGGAAAGGGUGUGAUAGCAACCUCUAAGUGAUAGCAACCUGACUGGGCCUGCUGUUUUUCUGCCUCAAUAGCUUGUUUCUACAAUAAAACAAAGCAAAAACAAAAAAGAUGAGAUUAAAAUUAUGAAUAACAUGUACAAAAUACAAUGGGAAAUGUUACUACUGCAAGAAGUGAAGUAAUAAUGGAAUGAGCAAAGAGUUGCAACAUCUACGCCACUAGAUUUCAAGAAGUGAAGUAAUAAUGGAAUGAGCAAAGACUCGAUUUUUCAAAGAGCUGGUACUGGGAUUGUCAUACAAGAGAAUUUAAAACAGUGUUGUACAAGCUUGGUCUGUUUUCAUACAAGAAGAAAGAACAUAAGGAUAUAAAUGUAGAUAGGCUCCUUGUAAGAGAAUUUAACACAGUGUUGUACUAAGAGAGUUUAAAACAGUAUUCGAGAGCUCAUCAGGUUCACUAAAUUUAAGGAAUAUAUGAUCUGUAAAUUCACAAGAAAUAUCAAUAUUAUACAAAUAUUAAUUAUAGAUAUUGAUUCCAUUAUGUUACAAAAUGUAUUUUUACUGUGACAGUACAAUCCUUUAUAGUUUGACUUUUCCUCAACAAGACCCAAAAUAAACAAAGUUGGAUGUAAUUUAAAUAUAAAAAUUUGUCUUUGUAAAGUUAAAUGGACAAUUUAGGCUUACUCAACCGCUCCAUAUCAUUUUAAAAAUAUAUACUUAAUAAUUUUUAUUUAAACUUUAAAUAGUUUUUCUUUUAAUUUGAAAUUAAACAAUUUAUCUAAAAUCUGAUUUUUUUUCUUGAAGUACUAACUUCAUUAAAAAUGGAAAUCGAAGUACGAAUGAAGUCAUUUCCACUGCAUAUAAUCAAACUUCCAAUUCUUGUUAUAAGGGCACAUUGUAAAUACCUAUCUAAUGAGACUUCAACAAGAUUUCACUUUUAUUUUAUUCAAUAUAUUCAUUCAAGGCAAUCAAACAUCCUCAAAAACAUCAAAUUAUAAAUCCAUAUCAAAUCUUCAGAUACAAAAAAGAGAUAUGAUUGAAUCAAGCUAUGAAGGAGACCACCAAUCAACCAAUGGUCAAACAACAAAGAGAUAAUAACUGGAUUUCAUAUGGAACAUAAGAACGCAAGCCCAAUUAGCUACCUUCAGUUUUAAAAUGAAUAUGCCACUGAAAGUGAAAACCAAUCCAAAGAAAAUUAAUACAACAUAAUCUUAUCAUUGUUAGCCCUCAUUCUAAACAAACAUGAACCUAGAAAAAAAAAUAGGUAGGAGAUUCAGAACAACAAAUAUCCCAUAUAUAGCACAAAAAACAAACAGAAUCAUCUCAGAAACACGAAAGAACAUUCAAGACCAACCAUUUAUAAAAACACCCAAGAAUAAAAACCACUCAAAUCGCAUGAAAUGAAGAAAGGCCCACUAAUUUAAUCUAUGUUGGAUGAAAGCACAAAGAUUGCAAACACAGGUACAUUAACCCCAGAAAGAAAAAAUGGAAGUAUGAACAAUCUUACCUCUCAAUAGCCAGAUUAUUACAAGCAAGGACUUUAAUAGUCAUGGAGGACCGGACACUGGAGGUGGAAUGGUGGAUCGAUGGAGAUGGUUUUUCGAUUUGGGGAAAAAAAUAGAGGGGAUGGGUUAGGGAUUUAUCAGAUACACGGGAAAUGGGAAACGGGAAAUGUAAUAAUAAAUUUUAAAAAUAAAAAAAAUAUUAAUUAUAUCCGGGCCGGGCCCAAAAAAUUUUACCCAAGGCCCUGUUCAUUUUCUAAACAAGCCUAUAUUUUUACCUAAACCCUCUCAAAUUUCAGGCAGACCAUUGGACCGGGCCGAGCCACCCAACCCAUGAGCACUUCUACCUGGGACAAGGAGAUCCUCUAAGUUCUUUUUUAUUUUUAAUGUGUAGCAAGGGAUUAUCAUCUUUGAUGAGAUUAGCAUUGAAGGAAGGAUUGUUAAGAGGUGCAAAGGUGAGUAGAAGAGGCCUAGAAAUUUCACAUUUACUUUUUACAGAUGACAGUAUUCUGUUUGGGGAAGCAUCAGAUAGGGGGCAAGGUGCUAAAAGGAAUUCUUAAGACGUAUGAAAAAUGUUCUGGCCAAUGUGUAAAUUUCAAUAAAUCUACAAGCUUUUUCUGCACGAACACUAUAGAAGGAAAAAAUAAAGAAGUCUCGGCAAUCUUGGGGGUAAGGACCUCAACAAAUAUGGAAAGAUAUUUAUGUCUCCCGAAUGUGGUUGGUAGACGGAAAAAAGAAUCCUUUCAGCUUUUCAAAGAGAAGAUUUAUACUAGAAUUGAAGGAUGGAGUACCAGAAUGUUAUCUGAAGGAGGUAAGGAAGUAUUAUUAAAUUCGGUACUUCAGUCUAUUCCAACCUAUGCUAUGUCUUUUUUCUUACUACCAAAGUCGCUUUGUAGAGAUAUAGAAAGUAUAUUUGCUAAAUUUUGGUGGCAAAAAGCGCACGGGAAAAGAGGAAUUCAUUGGUGUCAAUGGAAAUAUUUGUGUUGGUCAAAAGAAGAAGGUGGUUUGGGUUUUAGAAACAUGGCUCAGUUUAAUGUCUCAUUACUAGCCAAAUAGGGGUGGAGAAUUUUAAACAAUCCAAAUUCUUUAAUAGCUCAAGUUUUAAAGGCAAAAUAUUACCCAAAUGUUAAUUUCUUAAAUUCACGAUUGGGGAUCAAUGCUUCGUAUAGAUGGAAAAGCAUUUGGGCUACAAAGGACACUUUAGAGGAAGGUUUGUGUUGGAAGGUGGGCAGGGGUACGCAUAUUUCAGUUAGUAAUGAUUUUUGGAUCCCAGAUAUGAAAAAGAACAGGUUAUCAGCUUUAAUUACGAAUUUGAAUGAUUUUAAAGUUGCUAAAUUAAUUGAUCAAAGUAAUAGAACAUGGAAGAAAGAAUUGAUAGCUUCUACCUUUCCAGAGGAUGUUGUCGAGAAGAUUAUUUGCAUUUCGUUGGCAGAAGAACCUUUUGAAAAUUUUCGGGUCUGGAGUGCUGAGGCGCCGGGCAAACUCACAGUACGCAGCGCCUAUAAACUAUUACAAAGCAUUGAAGAUGAUCCUAGAGCUUACGCUUUACAAGCCGACUAUAAGGAAUUCUACAAAAAAUUAUGGCUUCUGAACCUUCCUUCAAAAAUAAAAAUUACAAUCUGGAAGAUAUCAUAGAAUUUUCUAUCUACAUGAGUUAAUAUGCUACUAAGAAAGUUAACAAACACAACAGUAUGCCCCCGUUGUGGAGUAGGAACAGAGAAUAUGGACCAUCUUUUCUGUGAAUGUCCUGCUUCAAUUUCAGUUUGGAGAGAGUUAUCAUGCCAAGCAUUUUUGCAAGAAAAUCAGUUAGAGUUUGUACAGUGGCUAACCUGGGUAUUUGCGAAGAACUCGGUAUCACAGUGUAGGAUAUUUUGUUGUGCAUUAUGGGCAAUUUGGGGAGAUAAGAAUGAUAGAGUGCACAAAAAAGUGAGUAAAUCUGGAAAAGUAAUAGGGAGAUUUGUUAAUAGUUAUAUAUCAGAGUUGAAUAAGAUUGAUAAAAGCAAACCACAAACUUCUAUAACUAUUAACAAGUAGAGGAAGCCACCUGAUCAGGUUGUGAAAAUUAAUUUUGAUGCAGCAUGCGACGAAAAUUUUAAUCAAGCGGCUGUGGGGAUUGUGGCCAGAGAGAGUGAGGGCAUGGUUCUUUUAUCAUGCUCGAAGAUCUAUCAACCGAUUGCAUCAGCCUUUGCGACUGAGGUACUCAUGUGCCGGAAAGCGAUCCAAAUCGGCAUAGACAUGCAUUGGGAAAAAGUCAUUAUUGAAGGAGACUCUUUAUCAAUAAUAAAAAAACUAGUAGUUUACUUAGUUGGAGGUGUCCCCGAAUAUGCAGAAGAACAAGAGGAAAGGGAUAGAGUGAGAGAGCCAGAUUGAACAGGAAAGGGAGAAGAUGAAAUGGGGGGAGUCUGAAUGAGGGUUGGUAAUGGAAUGGACGAAAUUAAAGUCCCCUCGGGAGUGUGAAUGCGUCUUGAUGAAGAAAUGGCAGAUGAAGUGACAAGACGGUGAAGAGUCAUCUUGCUGAUUGGCCAAAAAUAACAGCAACAUUAAUGGGAAUCCAGAGCGUUCUGACUCUAUUUUUGUUCUGUUGAUUUUCUAGGCUGAAUUAGGAUUUGGUUUGUUGUUCUUAGUUUUUAUCGUUUCUUUGUUUAUUUUGAU